rnacentral:rRNA from 1 species
GUCUACGGCCAUACCACCCUGAACGCGCCCGAUCUCAUCUGAUCUCGGAAGCUAAGCAGGGUCGGGCCUGGUUAGUACUUGGAUGGGAGAACAGUGUCUGCAGGUGGAGGUGGAGG